rnacentral:rRNA from 1 species
GAUGAACGCUGGCGGCGUGCCUAAUACAUGCAAGUCGAGCGAACAGACGAGGAGCUUGCUCCUUUGACGUUAGCGGCGGACGGGUGAGUAACACGUGGGUAACCUACCUAUAAGACUGGGAUAACUUCGGGAAACCGGAGCUAAUACCGGAUAAUAUUUCGAACCGCAUGGUUCGAUAGUGAAAGAUGGCUUUGCUAUCACUUAUAGAUGGACCUGCGCCGUAUUAGCUAGUUGGUAAGGUAACGGCUUACCAAGGCAACGAUACGUAGCCGACCUGAGAGGGUGAUCGGCCCCACUGGAACUGAGACACGGUCCAGACUCCUACGGGAGGCAGCAGUAGGGAAUCUUCCGCAAUGGGCGAAAGCCUGACGGGGCAACGCCGCGUGAGUGAUGAAGGUCUUCGGAUCGUAAAACUCUGUUAUUAGGGAAGAACAAACGUGUAAGUAACUGUGCACGUCUUGACGGUACCUAAUCAGAAAGCCACGGCUAACUACGUG